AUACGGAGGGUGCAAGCGUUGUUCGGAAUUAUUGGGCGUAAAGAGCAUGUAGGCGGACUAUUAAGUCUGGUGUGAAAGCCCGGGGCUCAACCCCGGAAGUGCAUUGGAUACUGGUAGUCUUGAGUAUGAGAGAGGAAAGUGGAAUUCCGAGUGUAGGAGUGAAAUCCGUAGAUAUUCGGAGGAACACCAGUGGCGAAGGCGGCUUUCUGGACCAAUACUGACGCUGAGAUGCGAAAGCGUGGGGAGCGAACAGUAUUAGAUACCCCAGUAGUCC
rnacentral:rRNA from 1 species